GCGUGGCCACCAGAUGGCAGUGCGACACCGUUUCCUAGACUAACGGCAGGCCAGCUGAGACCACAUGGCUUUCUCCCGGGUAGACAGCUGCUGACGUGAUCAAAGAUUUUAGAGCCGGGCAUGGUGGAACACGCCUGUAAUCCCAGUGCUCUGGGAGGCCGAGGCAGGAAGAUCACGCAUUCAGUUCCAGCCAGGCAACUCAGCAACUCAAGACCCUGUCUCAGGGGUGCUCCUUAUUUAGACAUCUCAACUAGCAGCUCAUCAGAAGAGAGACCCAGCUGGCAGUGAAGCCGGCUGUGGAAGCCCCACUGGUCAUUUCCUUUUUCCCACUCCACAAGGACCAACUGCUGUCACCCUUUCUCCCCAGUGGCUCCCCCAGCCAUUCACUCUGCCUGCCCUUGGCUCUGGCUAGAGGGCUUUACCCCGUCACCUUCACAUUCUUGCAAUCCACACACCCUGCCUGGGUUCUUCCUCCCCCGUGCUGCCUGCUCUGAGCCACCACCUAUCAGCUGGCAGUGUGCUUUGAGGGUACCACAGCCGGACACCCCGGCUCACCUCCCGUGAGCCCCGGGAGACUUCAGGACAGAGGCCAGCUCCACGGGAUGGCACAAGCAGGGAAGGUCUCCGAUGCAGCUUCGACACACAGCCAUUCUAGGUCCCGCUUCCUAGGCUGCUUCCCCUUCCUGCAGCUGCCCCUGCCAGGGCGCACCUGGCUCCAUCUAGCUGCCCAUCUGCCAGUCUGCUCCUCUGGCCACUUCCCGCUACCCUCUCAAAGCACGUAUGACCGCCGAGACAGUCACUCCACUCCACCUGUUUCUGUUGUUACUUUGGUGCUGGAGACAGAAUCCAGGACCUCACAGGAGCCAGGCAAGCCUCUCCCCGGUGAACCACACCCUUACAUGCUCUGCUUCUCCGUCAGUUGCUGAGGGUGUGCUCCAGCUGUACCCCAGAAUUACUAUCAGCCAAGUAAAAGCACAUGACCACUCAAUCACCUGCUUAUGUGUCUGUAUUUUCCAAGGAGUUAUAAACUCUUAAAAACAAGCAGUUUUAAUUUUACAUUCCAAGAACAAUCAAAGCUGUGCUCCAUAAACACUGAAAACCAGUCUCCGGCCAGUGUCCAGAGUCUUCUAUCCAGAGAGGCAGAAGAGGACAGCACAGGCCAGGAUGCCCCACCUUGUACCACUGGGGCCCGACAAGGGUGACACAGUUUGAAACCCAGCAAAGCCAUCUCCAUGGUGACCACCCAACACAAACUCAUAGACGUCCUCAACUCAGAAUGAUUCCCCUUACAAUUUUUCCGUUUUGCCGUGGUGCAAAGCACGCUCUGUGGAAGCCGUAGCUCAGACUCUGACUGUGGCACUCUGCCCAGGCUGGCACCCCGCAGUCCGCUGCCUCGAAGGGUGUGGGUGGUGGGGGAGCUGCAGCCCCAUGGGUACCCCUGCCACAGGGGUCCACAGAGGCUCAGCAGCGGCGCUGUGCUGCCGGGCUUGACAGCCAGCCGGGAGGGCUGUCUCCGAUUCACAGCGGGUUCCCAGGAUGGGCCAUCCUGAUGGGGAGGACCUGCACUGGGGCACCCUGUGGGUGUCCAGGGUGCAGUCGGGUAUCGCUUCUCAGGUGUCUCCCUCUCGCCACAGACACGGCCUUCCGCUUGCUGGUGAGGUCACCUUCACUGCAGCCCCGUGCGGUUGAGCAGGAACCUCGUUUCCAGUGCUGUCACGGCUUGGUUGCGAUGCACCUCUUUCGGGCGGGCCACUCUCUGCCUUUAGAUCACCCACUUCCGUAAGGGCCCCAGGGGCUGCUCACCAGGAGCCGCCAGGGGGCAGAGGCUAUGGACCAGCACCCGUGCUGUCCAACGCAAUGGCAGGCAGUGCCCAGCCACGUCAGCAUAAAGUGAAGAAGUUAAGGCGCUGGGAGAGGCUUCAUGGGGACCUGGGACCCCUGGCUCCUCCUGUCCUUCCCUCCCAGCUGCCGCCGGCGCUCCCUGCGGUGAGCUCUGCCUGCCAUGUCACCCAGAGGGAAUGGCGCUGGGGACUGUGGCCCGAGCCCCCCAAACUACGAGCCAAAAUGAACCUUUGCCCCUUUACAUGUGACCUCCGUCACCCCAGGCACACGUGACCUGCCCCACGGCCAGCACUACAGGAGCCCAUCCGGCCCACUGUGCCCUUCUGCACUUUCAGGGCAAUCAAGAACACAGGGCUGGGUAUGCAACUGUGAGGUAAAUAAACCAAGAAUGCAUUAUUAAGUUUUCAGGGGCAAAUAUUAGAAUAUGUCAAUAAUAACCAAAGGAAUAAUUGUAAAAGGUGUCAGUACUCAUAAACACUGAACAAAACUGGCAACGUUGUGUGAUCAACAUUAUUAUGCCUUAAAAACUUAGGGGACAGUGAGAAACACUGCCUAAAUUUAAAGCCAAAAGCAACAAAAAAUUCUCAUUUAAAAAAAGGAAAGAACACUCCAUUUGAAUUACUAUAUUCUUGCGGGGUGUGGUGGCGCACGCCUGUAAUCCUAGCACUUGGGAGGCUGAGGCAGGAGGAUCACCAAGAGUUCAAGGCCAGCCUGGGCUACACAGUGAGUUUGAGGCCAGCCUGAACUGCACAGAGACCCUGUCUCAAAAAAAGCAAAAUUACUAUAGUCUUCUACACAAUGAAAGCCUCCUUAGUCACGAUCCAAGCAAAUUAUAGUCAUACUCAUUUAUUCCUUCUUUUCAAAAGGAAGUCAAACUAGAUGUUCGGCGUCCCCUGGGACCACUUCUCUGGAUGACAGUUCCCGAGGUCUUCACCCCCACCUGCAGCCUCGGCACACACGGACGACAGGGACAGGCCUGUCGGGAAGGGAUGCCUGCUGCAGGGAUCCACAUGCCCUCUGGCUGGUCUCCCUGGUGGGCUCAGCCCGGGACCUGGAAAGUUUGUCAAGCUGCCCUGAAUUAGCAAAACCUUAUUCUAAGGGAGCAAACGUCAACAUCAUGGGGAUAAAGAAUGUUUCCAGAAAAAAGAUGACUGUUACAAAAAUUAUAUUUUAAGGAAAAACUUUAUAUUAAAAAGUCCUGAGGGUUUCAUAAAGAAAUAAUCAUUAUGUCAGUCAAGCCCAACUUUAACCAAAAAAAAGCAAAUUUCAGUAGAAAGUUAACAUGACACAUUUCUAGAACAAAUUUGGUUAGGUACAAAACACAUUUAAAACAAUUUUUCUUGGGGCCGGGGAUGUAGCUCAGUGGCUCUGCUGUCUGCCUCGCAAGCACAAGGACCCAAGUUUGACCCCCAGUACCCCCCCCCAAAAAUUUUUUUUUCUUACAAUUUUUAUACCACAAUUCUCAAGCAAAGAUUUUCCAAAUUACACCUUAAAAGAAAAAAAAUGUCACCCCAUGAUGCUAAGUCUAACCCAUGAAGAAGGAAUCUUAGGAUUUUCCCGACACUGGUAAAUCUUUUUACUGCCACAAGGACACAUUCACUGGGUCAGCUAUUCUUACAGUUACCUUUUAAAAGUUAUUGAAGUAAUCUCAUUUUUUGCAGCUAUAUCAUUGUUUCAAGACAAUUUCAACGGUGCAAAUAACAUCCUAAAGUAAAAAAAUCCUUCUAAAACCUUAAAAUGUCUGACUGCUCUGACAGAAAUACCCCUCAAUAAAUAUUUAUUUGGGUGGAAUUCUGAACAUAUUCAUUUCACCAAAGUUGGUGACUUGGUUCUCAGACACAAAGAAAGGGCAAAAAUCUCAAAGCAAAUAAUAAUAAUUGCAGUAAUAAUCAGAGGAAAAAAAUUUUAAGUGCUGUUGAAUUCACAGAUUUAGAAUAAAACAAGUGAAUAAAUUCUACCACCAAGGACAGCCUAUAGCAAAUUAAGGCUUCAUUCUACAAAAUACUUUCUUAUUAGGAACUUUGUGAACAGAUGUUUACAUAAAGGCUCAGCAAGUUCUGCUCAAUGGACUAAAUUAAGCUGGAAGUAUAAAAUUAGCUUCAUACCACGGUCCUGCAUUCACAGAAUCUUUCAAGAUCUAAUGUGAGGACUCUUAAUUUUUUUUCUUAGCCCCUCGUUGUAAGGAAAUCAUAUGUAACACUGUAUUUACAAAUGAGGAGACUCCCCUGGGCAUUACUGCUUCACACCAAAAGCUAACUGCAAGGACAAAACUGAGUAACUCAUUUUAAGGCACUAACAGUACAAUAAGGAUUAGCUGAUCUGAUGAGUUUCUUCUUGAAGCAGUGGGAUAAGUAGCUGGGAUACAAAUUGCCGGAAAGAGGAUUAAAGGGAAAGAGGAUGGGCCCCAAAGCUUUUAUGUAUCAGUUUGUCCUGAACCCAGUUUUUACUAACUCUCUCAAAGUCAGACACACUCUUUGACAGUGGCCUUAAAUUCACAAAUGGUGACACCUGAGUGUGUGUCGAUCUCGUAGCCGAGGAGACCUGCCCUGCACAUUCGAAAAUAAGGAAAGGCACCUUCCUUGGUUUAGGGGAGCAAAUUCUAUCUUGGAAGAAACACAAUUUUCAAAUUAUGAUUUCUCACAAAUAAAAUGCAAACAGAAACCAAACUCAUGUUCAAUAUUUCUGUUUCCCUUUGUGUCGUUAAAUCACUGCUAUUUGGAAGUGAAUGCUGAGUGGCAAGUCACUGCCUUGCGCUGUGAGAUGAGGUUCAAGGGUCGUACUAACACUGGCUGUAAGGCCAUGAAUAGCUGUGGGUGG